GCAGAAGUGGCAUUGACUGCAUUUUCCCCAGAGGCUUGGCAUGACCGACUCCGUUGUGUGGGCAUCCUCCAGCAGAAGUGGCAUUGACUGCAUUUUCCCCAGAGGCUUGGCAUGACCGACUCCGUUGUGUGGGCAUCCUCCAGCAGAAGUGGCAUUGACUGCCACUUUUUUCCCCAGAG